rnacentral:rRNA from 1 species
UGCCUGUGACCAUGAGUUUAACGGCCGCGGUAUUUUGACCGUGCAAAGGAAGCGCAAUCACUUGUCUUUUAAAUGAAGACCUGUAUGAAUGGCAUAACGAGGGCUUAACUGUCUCCCUUUUCCAGUCAAUGAAAUUGAUCUCCCCGUGCAGAAGCGGGGAUUAAAACAUAAGACGAGAAGACCCUAUGGAGCUUUAGACAAAGAGCAGACCAUGUUAAACACACCUAAAUAAAGGACAAAACCAAUUGGCCCCUGCCCUUAUGUCUUUGGUUGGGGCGACCGCGGGGAAACAAAAAACCCCCAUGUGGACUGAAGACAUUCCUCUUCACAACCAAGAGCCACAGCUCUAAGCAACAGAACAUCUGACCAACAAGAUCCGGCACUAAGCCGAUCAACGGACCGAGUUACCCUAGGGAUAACAGCGCAAUCUCCUUUUAGAGCCCCCAUCGACAAGGAGGUUUACGACCUCGAUGUUGGAUCAGGACAUCCUAAUGGUGCAGCCGCUAUUAAGGGUUCGUUUGUUCAACGAUUAAAGUCCUACAAGAUCUGAUUCCAGACCGGAGAUCACCUGUUUAUCAAAAACAUAUUCGUGAUCUGAUUUCAGACCGGA